GAGACGCUAAGGCGUUGAAGCAGUGUAUGUCAGACUUCCAAGAAAAGCUCGCAAUGUCACUAAUAAAAAAUGCCUGUACCAUAACCGACACAGGUGGGUAGGUAGAGUAUACUAAGGGGCGCGAGAUAACUCUCUCUAAGGAACUCGGCAAAAUGACUCCGUAACUUCGGGAGAAGGAGUGCCUUAUUUAUAAGGUUGCAAUAACAAGAUCCAAGCAACUGUUUAUCAAAAACACAGGUCUCCGCUAAGUCGUAAGACGAUGUAUGGGGGCUGACGCCUGCCCAGUGCCAGAAGGUUAAAGAAGUUGGUUAGUGUAUGCGAAGCUGAUGACUGAAGCCCUGGUGAACGGCGGCCGUAACCAUAACGGUCCUAAGGUAGCGAAAUUCCUUGUCGGGUAAGUUCCGACCCGCACGAGAGGCGUAAUGAUUUGGAUACUGUCUCGGAGAGAGGCUCGGCGAAAUAGACUUGUCUGUGAAGAUGCGGACUACCUGCACCAGGACAGAAAGACCCUAUGAAGCUUUACUGUAACUUGAAAUUGGAAUUGGACUUUGCUUGCGCAGUAUAGGUGGGAAGCGUUGAAAAUAUUCUUGCGGGAGUAUUGGAGCUGUCAGUGGGAUACCACUCUUGUAAUGUUAGAUUUCUAACUUUGAACCAUAAUCUGGUCAAAGAACAGUUUCAGGUGGGCAGUUUGACUGGGGCGGUCGCCUCCCAAAUGGUAACGGAGGCGUACAAAGGUUUCCUCUGAACGGAUAGAAAUCGUAUCUAGAGUGUAAAGGCAUAAGGAAGCUUGACUGUGAGACCUACAAGUCGAGCAGGGACGAAAGUCGGUCUUAGUGAUCUGACGGUACUGAGUGGAAAGGCCGUCACUCAACGGAUAAAAGUUACUCUAAGGAUAACAGGCUGAUCUCCCCCAAGAGUUCACAUCGACGGGGAGGUUUGGCACCUCGAUGUCGGCUCAUCGCAUCCUGGGGCGGUAGUACGUCCCAAGGGUUGGGCUGUUCGCCCAUGAAAGCGGUACGCGAGCUGGGUUCAGAACGUCGUGAGACAGUUCGGUCCAUAUCCGGUGUAGGCGCUAGAAUAUUGAGAGGAGCCUUCUUUAGUACGAGAGGACCGAGAAGGACACACCGCUGGUGUACCAGUUAUCGUGCCAACGGUAAACGCUGGGUAGCUAUGUGUGGAGUGGAUAACCGCUGAAAGCAUCUAAGUGGGAAGCCCACCUCGAGAUGAGUAUUCUCAC
rnacentral:rRNA from 1 species